UUAAGAGAAAUUAAAAAAGUUAAUUAAAAAAGUAGAAAGACUUUUAUGAAGGUAAAAUAAUAAAUGAUACCUAAGUAAUUUAUAUUAAAAGUUUUAAAAAGAACUGAAACAUCUUAGUAUAUAAAAAAGAAUGAAUUGAAAGUAGUGGCGAACGAAAUCAAUUACCUAUAAAAAUAAAAUGUUUUUACAUAAUAAAAUUGAGUCUUAUCUAUAGAGAAAGUACUGUGAAGGAAACAUAAUCUAUAAUUAACUUGAAACAGUGAAUUUCACUUACCUUUUGUAUAAUGGGUUUACAAGAAUAAAUAUUAGCAAGCUAUAAGGCUAAAGAAAUUAAAUAGUUAAUAUUACCCGAAACCUGGCGAUCUAAUUGUGAACAACUUUAUGAGUCAACUAAUGAAUGUAGAAAAAUUCUUAGAAGAUUUGCAAUUAGCGGCGAAAAACCAAUCGAGCUUGGAUAUAGCUGGUUCUCUACGAAAAUUAUAUAAGUAAUAUAAUAUUUAGAUUAAAAAGACAAAUAGUUAUAACAUUAUUUGUCAAGAAGAUAAAAAUCUUAAUCAAAAAUUAAUGAACUUAAUACCGGUAAUAAAAAAGAAAUUGAUUAUUAAUACAAUAAAAAAGUGGGCUUAGAGACAGCCAUAUUUUAUAGAGUACGUAAUAGUUUAUUUAAUAAAAAAUCUAAUUUCUCAAAUUAAGUUUUACCUAGUCUCAAAAAUUUUGGAUUAAUAGUAGUAGAGCAUCUUUUUAUAAAUUAAGAAAUUAAAUAAGAAAGAUAAUGUAAACAUUAAUAUAAUCAAAUUUAUUCCUAAAUUUUCUUAUUUUACAUAUGAAUAAGGUAAUACAGUAUCUCAUAAAAAAAGGAUAAUUAAUAUUUUUCCCCAAGAAAAUUUAUUAAAAUAAACUGUAAAAUCUCAAUCAAGAAGGAAUAAUAAAUUGAAAAAUUUUUUCUAAGUAACUCGGCAAACUGAAUAUCGACUGUUUACCAAAAACAUAGCCCUAGAUAAUAUCUAAGGUGUAACCUGCCCAGUGGUUUCUAAUACAAGAAAUAAAAAUUCUAUAAAGAAACUAAAAGGACGCGGUAACCUUGACCGUGGUAAUGUAGCAUAAUCACUCGCCAUUUAAUUGGUGGAUAGUAUGAAUGGUUGAACGAAUAUUCCGCUGUCUUAGAAAGAAGCACAAGAAAUUGAAAUAAUAGUUAAGAUGCUAUUUUUAACUGUAAGACGAAAAGACCCUAUAGAGCUUAACUAUAAUCUUCUUAUCAUAAAAGAAAAUAAAUUCUAUAUUUAAGAAGACUGGUAGUUUAGUUGGGGCGACUGUCUUUUAUAACAAACAAAGACAAGCAAUGUUAAUAAAAAACUUAUUGUAUAACUAAAAUGUUUAACAAUUAUAAAAAUAGGCUAUAAUGACCCGUUAUUACUCUAUAAAAAGAAUAACGAUCAAUUAAUAAAAGCUACCUUAGGGAUAACAGGAUAAUUUCAUUUUAGAGUUCCUAUCGAAAAUGAAGUUUGUCACCUCUAUGUUGAAUUAAGAUAUCCUGAUAAUGCAGCAGUUAUCAAAGGUAGGUCUGUUCGACCUUUAAAAUCUUACAUGA
rnacentral:rRNA from 1 species